rnacentral:rRNA from 1 species
CGCGUAGGCGGACAGUUUAGUCAGAGGUGAAAGCCCAGGGCUCAACCUUGGAAAUGCCUUUGAUACUGGCUGUCUUGAGUACGGGAGAGGUGUGUGGAACUCCGAGUGUAGAGGUGAAAUUCGUAGAUAUUCGGAAGAACACCAGUGGCGAAGGCGACACACUGGCCCGUUACUGACGCUGAGGCGCGAAAGCGUGGGAGCAAACAGGAUUAGAUACCCUGGUAGUCCACGCCGUAAACGAUGAGUGCUAGUUGUCGGCAUGCAUGCAUGUCGGUGACGCAGCUAACGCAUUAAGCACUCCGCCUGGGGAGUACGGUCGCAAGAUUAAA